rnacentral:rRNA from 1 species
AAUUUCCAUGAACGCUGGCGGCAUGCCUUACACAUGCAAGUCGAACGGCAGCACGGAGCUUGCUCUGGUGGCGAGUGGCGAACGGGUGAGUAAUAUAUCGGAACGUACCCUGGAGUGGGGGAUAACGUAGCGAAAGUUACGCUAAUACCGCAUACGAUCUACGGAUGAAAGUGGGGGAUCGCAAGACCUCAUGCUCGUGGAGCGGCCGAUAUCUGAUUAGCUAGUUGGUAGGGUAAAAGCCUACCAAGGCAUCGAUCAGUAGCUGGUCUGAGAGGACGACCAGCCACACUGGAACUGAGACACGGUCCAGACUCCUACGGGAGGCAGCAGUGGGGAAUUUUGGACAAUGGGCGAAAGCCUGAUCCAGCAAUGCCGCGUGAGUGAAGAAGGCCUUCGGGUUGUAAAGCUCUUUUGUCAGGGAAGAAACGGUGAGGGCUAAUAUCCCUUGCUAAUGACGGUACCUGAAGAAUAAGCACCGGCUAACUACGUGCCAGCAGCCGCGGUAAUACGUAGGGUGCAAGCGUUAAUCGGAAUUACUGGGCGUAAAGCGUGCGCAGGCGGUUUUGUAAGUCUGAUGUGAAAUCCCCGGGCUCAACCUGGGAAUUGCAUUGGAGACUGCAAGGCUAGAGUCUGGCAAGAGGGGGGUAGAAUUCCCCUUGUU